GCCUCGGUGGUGUAGUGGUAGAUCACGCCACCCCGGAUAGGAUGUAACGCGGGUUCGAUUCCAGCCUGAGGCC